rnacentral:rRNA from 1 species
GAUGAACGCUCGCUACAGGCUUAACACAUGCAAGUCGAGGGGAAACGACAUCGAAAGCUUGCUUUGAUUGGCGUCGACCGGGGCACGGGGGAGGAACGCGUAUCCAACCUGCCCAUUACUUGGGAAUAAACUUGCGAAAGUUAGACUAAUACCCCAUGGUAUCCCACGAAGGCCUCGGGAUGGGUUUAAAGAUUUUUUGGUGAUGGGAGGGGAUGCGUCUGAUUAGCUUGUUGGCGGGGUAACGGCCCACCAAGGCAACGAUCAGUAGGGGUUCUGAGAGGAAGGUCCCCCACAUUGGAACUGAGACACGGGCCAAACUCCUACGGGAGGCAGCAGUGAGGAAUAUUGGUCAAUGGGCGAGAGCCUGAACCAGCCAAGUAGCGUGCAGGAAGACGGCCCUAUGGGUUGUAAACUGCUUUUAUAAGGGAAUAAAGUGGGUCACGUGUGACUUUUUGCAUGUACCUUAUGAAUAAGAACCGGCUAAUUCCGUG